CUGCAAACACCUGGACCGAGCGCUGAAAGACUCCAGGUACAGCGGCACGAGCUCCAUCUCCUCCCAGAGUUCAGUGCGGUGUGUCAUGAUGUGCUUCAGUUCUGCAUGCUGCUCAUUUAUCAUCGAGGAUCUGGCUGUGCUUCCUCCAUUACCCCAGGAUCAGCAGGUACACGUGCUCCAGAUCUGAUUCAGUGCAGUCAGCACAUGACUUAGUGUCCGGCUAACACUGCUGCUAUGACUUCAGUAACACCAAUCCCUGGCAGUGCAUAAACUGACUAAACGUGCACCUGGAAUACAAUGCAAGUCUCUGCUCACAUUAUGGGAGUAAAUGGGUGGCAAACAGUGUUUGAUGUGAGUGUUAACAAUUCCUGUAACUCACACCAGAUCAUAUCUCUAGCAACACCAGGGUCAUGGGUUCGAAUGCAUGAACUGAAAACAUGCAAGCUGCUUUGGAUAAACGCUUCUGUCAAAUGCAUAACUGUAAUAAGCGACAUGUGUUCCAGGAUUCAGGAGGACGAGGUGUGUAACAGCAUCCAGCAGAGACGGCAGAUCCUCAGGCUGAAGGACAGUCGGUCGGGGAACAGCCUCCAAAGCAGCUCAGAGAACGAGGCCCAGUCUUCAGAGCCGCGGCCGUGGAGCAGCUCCAGCCUCAACCUGAAGCAUCCCGGUCCUGACCCGCGGAGACCGCUCCAGCAGCAGCAGGAGCGCGGGACGCCUCUCAAACACAGAUGCCGGUGUGUCACUGUUCGUCCAGCCAGUUCCCGGUGUCUGGACAGCCGUACCUGCGCAUGGGUCCAGUGCCAUACAGCGCUCAGAGUCAGAUUCCUCCCGCACCCCCGCAGCAGCCAGGUUACCAAACUGUGAUCAAAUCAGCAGCAGAACUACCAGAACAUGAUGCAGCCGCCGCAGAACCAGAUGCAAGUCAUGAUGCUCCAGCAUCCGUCAGUGCCAUCUUAUCAGGUGAACACUGCAUUCUGGGAGCAUGUAUUAACUCUCAGCUGAGUAGAGAUGUUUCAGUAUAGUGACCAAAAUUAUCACGGUUAUCAGUAUUGUUCAAAUGUGCUGGAAAUGUUGGGAAAGUACUGACACACAAAUCAUUUCACCAAGUUUUUCUGUUUUCACCUGAGACUGUUACUGAAAACUCUGCUUUAUGCUGGACGGUUUUAAUGAUAAUUAAAAGUGCUAAUACUAACCGUGGGGAAUUGUAUCAUGAUUUAUCAGUGUCAAGCUGCUGAUCGUUAAUAGAGUUAACCCACAUCAUGAGUGAUGUAAAGCAGAGGCGUGAUGAGCGUCUGUGAAUGUGUUUUGUGUCAGGUGUCUGCGCAGUGAAAACACAGCAUGCGUCUGCUGACGAGUGUUCAUAUAUAUUUUUUAGAAUAAUAAAUUCAGACUGAUUUAAUCUUCUGCUGAAUAA
ensembl:lncRNA